GACGAACGCUGGCGGCGCGCCUAACACAUGCAAGUCGAACGAGCGAGAGAGAGCUUGCUUUCUCGAGCGAGUGGCGAACGGGUGAGUAACGCGUGAGGAACCUGCCUCAAAGAGGGGGACAACAGUUGGAAACGACUGCUAAUACCGCAUAAGCCCACGACCGGCAUCGGGUUGAGGGAAAAGGAGCAAUCCGCUUUGAGAUGGCCUCGCGUCCGAUUAGCUAGUUGGUGAGGUAAUGGCCCACCAAGGCGACGAUCGGUAGCCGGACUGAGAGGUUGAACGGCACAUUGGGACUGAGACACGGCCCAGACUCCUACGGGAGGCAGCAGUGGGGAAUAUUGCACAAUGGGGGAAACCCUGAUGCAGCGACGCCGCGUGGAGGAAGAAGGUCUUCGGAUUGUAAAACUCCUGUUGCUAAAGGAACGAUAAAUGACGGUACUC
rnacentral:rRNA from 1 species